UUUGAUGUUCUAACGUGGACCCGUGAUCCGGGUUGCGGACAGUGUCUGGUGGGUAGUUUGACUGGGGCGGUCUCCUCCUAAAGAGUAACGGAGGAGCACGAAGGUUGGCUAAUCCUGGUCGGACAUCAGGAGGUUAGUGCAAUGGCAUAAGCCAGCUUGACUGCGAGCGUGACGGCGCGAGCAGGUGCGAAAGCAGGUCAUAGUGAUCCGGUGGUUCUGAAUGGAAGGGCCAUCGCUCAACGGAUAAAAGGUACUCCGGGGAUAACAGGCUGAUACCGCCCAAGAGUUCAUAUCGACGGCGGUGUUUGGCACCUCGAUGUCGGCUCAUCACAUCCUGGGGCUGAAGUAGGUCCCAAGGGUAUGGCUGUUCGCCAUUUAAAGUGGUACGCGAGCUGGGUUUAGAACGUCGUGAGACAGUUCGGUCCCUAUCUGCCGUGGGCGCUGGAGAACUGAGGGGGGCUGCUCCUAGUACGAGAGGACCGGAGUGGACGCAUCACUGGUGUUCGGGUUGUCAUGCCAAUGGCACUGCCCGGUAGCUAAAUGCGGAAGAGAUAAGUGCUGAAAGCAUCUAA
rnacentral:rRNA from 1 species